rnacentral:lncRNA from 1 species
GUGGAAAUAGAGGUGACAGCAAGUGAGGAAUGGAUCACUUUUACUUCUUCCUCCAGCAGAUCUUGUCCUUCCGUUUCUGGAAUCCUCACCUCCGGACAAAAGAUCAGGUUAUGUGCAUUUGAACUGAUGUCCAACUGUUUCCCCAUUUUUCUCCUCCCUCCCCCCCCACAUACACAUGCGCACACACACACACGUGCACACAGAUAUACACAUACACACUUCAGAGAGGACAAGUAAAAUUCAGGCCAAGAUACCUGUGCUUGUGAAUGACCACAUUACCCUUAUUACUGGGGUUCAGAGCAGCAAACUCUAAGAGAGGCAUUUUCUAGAGUCUGUAAACUUACCGUUCAUCUUUUAUUUAGUCGUAUGUGCAAGAGAGGAGAAGUAGGGUAACUGGAAACCCCUUCUGAUUGGUCCUUCCCAUGGAAAAGUGAUGUUUAGAGACACAGAAACCACAUGGGUCUUGGGUUGUCGCUCUACCCCCUUUUGAAAGUAUAAGCUGCUGUUUUCUUGAUAAAAAUGAUAGGCCUCGUGGAGUAAAUAAAUAAUUUCUUGGCUAUUGCUCUUGGUCCAUGGCUGCAGUCUAACUUUUGUACAAAGAGGCCAGUGAAGAGAAGAUAAAUAUAGAGAGAGAAGAAAGAAAGUAAGACACUAAGUUAUCCCAAAGGGCAUUCCUGUAUUAGUCAUCUUAUAAAAAUUAUAUGUACCACAGAAUAUCUAUUUUUAGAGACCAGGAGGUUAUGUGAAGCAGUUCAGAUGUCGGCAAAGACCCAGAGGCCAGCUCCCAGCGAUGAUAUUGGAUAUUUGGAUAUUUGUUUUCUUUAUUUUAACUGUCCAGAGCUGGUACUGACCACAUGGAUAUGUUGGCCACUUGGGGACGGCGAGACAAGAUCCAUGUGCUUCUUCAAAGACAUCUGAGGCCCUGAGUGAUUCCUUUGUGUUAUUUUUGUCCAUCUUCGGGGUCCAGGCGCCACACACAAACACACACACACACACACACACUCAGGAGCAGUUCAUCCUGCACGUUCUCUACUACCAUGCUCAACAGAGGCCACGUCAGGAGAGGAUGUCCCCAGCCCUCAUACAAUUACAAUUCGGCUUUUAUCAAAAGCUUGAAAGACCAUGAGGACAAGACCUCCCCAUUUCUCCCAAUGAUCUGAUUAGGGUACCUGUUUCGCACUUGUGACGCCUUGCCUGAGUUUACAGGCCAGAUCAUUUGCAGCUUCUUUGCAGAGUAGAGCACACUUGAUUUGGCUACUGAGCAGUUGAAAAUCUGUCAGAUUUAGUGAUUCUCAUUGAUAUAAGUUUAUAUACUGCAGUUUAUAUACUGCACCCGAAAUGCUCGACGUUCCUAUUUGCAGCACAUUGUUUUGCCUUUCUUUUCUUUAUUCAGUAAAACUCUGAUCCACGUAGCUUCUCAAGGCUCAGCUCUCUUCUUUGCCCAAAAGGGCGGUCUCACAGGGUGAUGCCGCCCUAGGUCACACUGCAGAGUGCGGUGGUUAGGCUUCCGUGUGUCCACAACCCUCCUGCUUUCUCGCCAUCCAGAAUCGGGGACUGUUUCUACCCCACACUCCAUCCAGGUAAUGGGAGAAAUGCGAGGCUGGAGAAGGAGACUAGGGUUACCCAAGGGGCUUCUCCGGGCUGCUGGGGUCAGCUUGCCAGAUUUAGCAAAAUAAAAUCACAAGACACUCAGUCCAGUUGAAUUUCAGAUGGAUGACGAACAUAUAUUUUAAUGUAAGUAGGUCCCACCCAAACAAUACUAGGACCUGCUUAUACUAAUAACCUUGCAUUGUUUAUCAGGAUUUCAGUUGAACGGGGCACCCUGUAUUUUACCUGGCAGCUCCUUGCUGGGGGGCACCUUCCUAAGGGGCAAUUGCAUGGACUCCAGCCCAUCCAAACCCCAUUUCAGACCACAUGGCACUUAGAAAAUAGAAUAGCACUCCACACCUCCUAGAUCCCCCAGCACCAAUUUUCCUAUCCUUAAGAGGACCUAAAGAUUCCCUGGCUUUGGAAAUGACUUCCAGGAUCCUAAUUUUUAGGGGCAUGGGAAGCAGCAGAUGGGGUGUGUCAACCCAACUCCACUGCGUUCCUUUCAUUCAACUUUUUUGCAGUUGAGGAGACCUGGCCACUCCCCACCAAAUUCUCAGAUCAAGGUAUGAUUUUAAUAGCUCAAUAGCAGUAGAAUUAAAAUGUAGCAUGUUGGUACCACUUUUCAUCUAAAGUGUUCAAAGUGUGUGCUUUGUACUUAGAGCUGACCCUCCAAACACUGAGUGAGGGAAGAAUUUUAGGAAAAUAGGUCUUAAGGAGCUGUGGCCUUAUCCAAAGUCUCACAGCUGACUCUCAGUGGAACAAGUCUCGACAUACCUCCCGGCUUCUCUUUCACCAGGCCUGUCCACACCUAAGUGCCAUCUCCUCAACAGACAGCAUUUGGCUGGUUCUUGUGUCCUUCUGGUCACAGGGAAAUGGCUCAAGGUCAUUGAUUGCCCUUUCUUCCUUCCCUGGCACUUCACUGACUCCAAGACACUAAUUAUGCAAAGACGUGGCCGUAACUAACUUUGAAAGAUGCUAAACCACCAUUAAUCAUUAAUUUCUUAUGUUUAUUAUUUAAUUUUACGGUAACAGUGGCACAUUAGAGAACACUUACAAAAUUCAGAUAAACAUAAAGAUGGAAAUUAUAAUCACUCAGUCAUACUCUUAACUGGAAAAACCCCUAUUAAUAUUUUGCUCUUUCUCUUUCUACCUGUUUUUUAAGGCAUAUGUGAAUAUACAUGUCCAUCCACGUUUGUGUGUCAGUGCCUAGAAACAUACUUUGUAGAAUAAUAAUGUCCUUUAAAUACUUUAUCCUGAUUUUUCACUUCACAUACUUCAUAUGUAUUUUCCAAGGGCAUUUCAGUGUUCUUUGAGAAAAUGGGGUUUAAGUGUUUCCCAAUAUUCACAUCUGUUUCUUUUAAUGCACCCCAGGGAGCUCUGAAUUUUGAAUAGGCCCUUUAGGGUCCUGAUGUGAUGGUCUAGCCAAAUGGAAAAGGCUCUGAAUGGCUAGAGAUGAGUGUCUACCCCUGGUCCAUUUAAAGUGCUCCAGAGACCUCAGAAAACCAGCCACACAUUUGUGUCACUUUCCCCGUAUGAAAAGUGGGGAUGUGCCCUGUGUCCUUCUCAAGCUAAAUGAAAUGUAGAGAUAACCAGGGCCCCACUUGAGAACCCAAAUAUUGUUCUAGCUCUUUGAGAGACAUAUUCUCUCCUGACACUUGAUGAGCAUUCUAUGUAUCAUCCCUUGUUUGAAAUUAAGUCAAAAUAACACUUACCGAGUGCUUAGUAUCCAUGUGGCCAUCUAUGCAUUCAGCCAAGAUUUAUUAAAUGUCAGCCACCUGCCAAGCACCAUACUAGGUACUUAGACAUAUAUGAUUCCAUUUAACACCUUGUGGGAUAUUAUUAUUGUUAGUGCUAUUGUUAAUGCUCUUUUUCUAAAAAAAAAAAAAAAAAAAAAAAAAAAA